UUAAGCGACUAAGCGUACACGGUGGAUGCCCUGGCAGUCAGAGGCGAUGAAGGACGUGCUAAUCUGCGAUAAGCGUCGGUGAGGUGAUAUGAACCGUUAUAACCGGCGAUUUCCGAAUGGGGAAACCCAGUGUGAUUCGUCACACUAUCAUUAACUGAAUCCAUAGGUUAAUGAGGCGAACCGGGGGAACUGAAACAUCUAAGUACCCCGAGGAAAAGAAAUCAACCGAGAUUCCCCCAGUAGCGGCGAGCGAACGGGGAGGAGCCCAGAGCCUGAAUCAGUGUGUGUGUUAGUGGAAGCGUCUGGAAAGGCGCGCGAUACAGGGUGACAGCCCCGUACACAAAAAUGCACAUAUUGUGAGCUCGAUGAGUAGGGCGGGACACGUGGUAUCCUGUCUGAAUAUGGGGGGACCAUCCUCCAAGGCUAAAUACUCCUGACUGACCGAUAGUGAACCAGUACCGUGAGGGAAAGGCGAAAAGAACCCCGGCGAGGGGAGUGAAAAAGAACCUGAAACCGUGUACGUACAAGCAGUGGGAGCCUCUUAAUGGGGUGACUGCGUACCUUUUGUAUAAUGGGUCAGCGACUUAUAUUCUGUAGCAAGGUUAACCGAAUAGGGGAGCCGAAGGGAAACCGAGUCUUAACUGGGCGUUAAGUUGCAGGGUAUAGACCCGAAACCCGGUGAUCUAGCCAUGGGCAGGUUGAAGGUUGGGUAACACUAACUGGAGGACCGAACCGACUAAUGUUGAAAAAUUAGCGGAUGACUUGUGGCUGGGGGUGAAAGGCCAAUCAAACCGGGAGAUAGCUGGUUCUCCCCGAAAGCUAUUUAGGUAGCGCCUCGUGAAUUCAUCUCCGGGGGUAGAGCACUGUUUCGGCAAGGGGGUCAUCCCGACUUACCAACCCGAUGCAAACUGCGAAUACCGGAGAAUGUUAUCACGGGAGACACACGGCGGGUGCUAACGUCCGUCGUGAAGAGGGAAACAACCCAGACCGCCAGCUAAGGUCCCAAAGUCAUGGUUAAGUGGGAAACGAUGUGGGAAGGCCCAGACAGCCAGGAUGUUGGCUUAGAAGCAGCCAUCAUUUAAAGAAAGCGUAAUAGCUCACUGGUCGAGUCGGCCUGCGCGGAAGAUGUAACGGGGCUAAACCAUGCACCGAAGCUGCGGCAGCGACACUAUGUGUUGUUGGGUAGGGGAGCGUUCUGUAAGCCUGUGAAGGUGGCCUGUGAGGGUUGCUGGAGGUAUCAGAAGUGCGAAUGCUGACAUAAGUAACGAUAAAGCGGGUGAAAAGCCCGCUCGCCGGAAGACCAAGGGUUCCUGUCCAACGUUAAUCGGGGCAGGGUGAGUCGACCCCUAAGGCGAGGCCGAAAGGCGUAGUCGAUGGGAAACAGGUUAAUAUUCCUGUACUUGGUGUUACUGCGAAGGGGGGACGGAGAAGGCUAUGUUGGCCGGGCGACGGUUGUCCCGGUUUAAGCGUGUAGGCUGGUUUUCCAGGCAAAUCCGGAAAAUCAAGGCUGAGGCGUGAUGACGAGGCACUACGGUGCUGAAGCGACAAAUGCCCUGCUUCCAGGAAAAGCCUCUAAGCAUCAGGUAACAUCAAAUCGUACCCCAAACCGACACAGGUGGUCAGGUAGAGAAUACCAAGGCGCUUGAGAGAACUCGGGUGAAGGAACUAGGCAAAAUGGUGCCGUAACUUCGGGAGAAGGCACGCUGAUAUGUAGGUGAAGCGACUUGCUCGUGGAGCUGAAAUCAGUCGAAGAUACCAGCUGGCUGCAACUGUUUAUUAAAAACACAGCACUGUGCAAACACGAAAGUGGACGUAUACGGUGUGACGCCUGCCCGGUGCCGGAAGGUUAAUUGAUGGGGUUAGCGGUAACGCGAAGCUCUUGAUCGAAGCCCCGGUAAACGGCGGCCGUAACUAUAACGGUCCUAAGGUAGCGAAAUUCCUUGUCGGGUAAGUUCCGACCUGCACGAAUGGCGUAAUGAUGGCCAGGCUGUCUCCACCCGAGACUCAGUGAAAUUGAACUCGCUGUGAAGAUGCAGUGUACCCGCGGCAAGACGGAAAGACCCCGUGAACCUUUACUAUAGCUUGACACUGAACAUUGAGCCUUGAUGUGUAGGAUAGGUGGGAGGCUUUGAAGUGUGGACGCCAGUCUGCAUGGAGCCGACCUUGAAAUACCACCCUUUAAUGUUUGAUGUUCUAACGUGGGCCCCUAAUCGGGGUUGCGGACAGUGUCUGGUGGGUAGUUUGACUGGGGCGGUCUCCUCCUAAAGAGUAACGGAGGAGCACGAAGGUUGGCUAAUCCUGGUCGGACAUCAGGAGGUUAGUGCAAUGGCAUAAGCCAGCUUGACUGCGAGCGUGACGGCGCGAGCAGGUGCGAAAGCAGGUCAUAGUGAUCCGGUGGUUCUGAAUGGAAGGGCCAUCGCUCAACGGAUAAAAGGUACUCCGGGGAUAACAGGCUGAUACCGCCCAAGAGUUCAUAUCGACGGCGGUGUUUGGCACCUCGAUGUCGGCUCAUCACAUCCUGGGGCUGAAGUAGGUCCCAAGGGUAUGGCUGUUCGCCAUUUAAAGUGGUACGCGAGCUGGGUUUAGAACGUCGUGAGACAGUUCGGUCCCUAUCUGCCGUGGGCGCUGGAGAACUGAGGGGGGCUGCUCCUAGUACGAGAGGACCGGAGUGGACGCAUCACUGGUGUUCGGGUUGUCAUGCCAAUGGCACUGCCCGGUAGCUAAAUGCGGAAGAGAUAAGUGCUGAAAGCAUCUAAGCACGAAACUUGCCCCGAGAUGAGUUCUCCCUGACUCCUUGAGAGUCCUGAAGGAACGUUGAAGACGACGACGUUGAUAGGCCGGGUGUGUAAGCGCAGCGAUGCGUUGAGCUAACCGGUACUAAUGAACCGUGAGGCUUAACCUU
rnacentral:rRNA from 3 species